rnacentral:rRNA from 1 species
AUGGAGAAGGAAAUCCUGGCUCCAAGUUUACAUACAGUCCAAACAUUCAUGGAUGGUCAUGCCGAGCUCCGGGAUAUCCCCUCGGAAUAUCGUUGGCAAGAAGACAAGGGGGAGAUGAAGGCGGAUGAAUACCAUGGAUUAAGUUACAAUAAAGCGUUGGCCAAAUUCUUAUCAGACAAGGAACAAAAUUACAUGGCAUCUACUUCGGCUACGAUUCUUGGGGAGACAAUGGAUUUGGUGAAGCCACUGUGCACCAAGGAUGACGUUUUUCGCGUUCGUGUGGAGAUGCACCGUGCAAAGGAGUCUUACACUAAAGAAGAGACCCUCUUCAAGAGCGAGGCCAGGCAGGACGAGCUUCUUAUUGACCCCAAUCUCACCGCACCAUGCUGCUACGAUGCCAUGAGCAAUGGCCUCUCUGCGACUUCCUAUGCGCACUUCUUCCACAAGCGGGGGGCAACCCUUUUUCGGUAA